AACGAACGCUGGCGGCAGGCUUAACACAUGCAAGUCGAGCGCCUCGCAAGGGGAGCGGCAGACGGGUGAGUAACGCGUGGGGAUCUGCCUAGUGGUACGGAACAACUCAGGGAAACUUGAGCUAAUACCGUAUAAGUCCUUCGGGAGAAAGAUUUAUCGCCAUUAGAUGAACCCGCGUCUGAUUAGCUAGUUGGUGAGGUAACGACUCACCAAGGCGACGAUCAGUAGCUGGUCUGAGAGGAUGAUCAGCCACACUGGGACUGAGACACGGCCCAGACUCCUACGGGAGGCAGCAGUGGGGAAUAUUGGACAAUGGGCGCAAGCCUGAUCCAGCCAUGCCGCGUGAGUGAUGAAGGCCUUAGGGUUGUAAAGCUCUUUCGUCAGGGAAGGUAAUGACGGUACCUGAAGAAGAAGCCCCGGCUAACUUCGUGCCAGCCGCCGCUGUAAUAC
rnacentral:rRNA from 1 species